rnacentral:rRNA from 1 species
AUUGAACGCUGGCGGCAGGCCUAACACAUGCAAGUCGAACGAGUGGCGGACGGGUGAGUAAUGUCUGGGAAACUGCCCGAUGGAGGGGGAUAACUACUGGAAACGGUAGCUAAUACCACAUACCAUCGGAUGUGCCCAGAUGGGAUUAGCUAGUAGGUGGGGUAACGGCUCACCUAGGCGACGAUCCCUAGCUGGUCUGAGAGGAUGACCAGCAACACGGGAACGUGGACAGGGUCCAGACUCCUACGGGGGGCAGCAUGGGGGAAUAUUGCACAAUGGCCGCAAGCCUGAGGCAGCCAUGCGGCGUGUAGAAAGAGGGCCUUCGGGUUGUAAAGUACUUUCGGCGAGGAGACGUUACUCGCAGAAGAAGCACCGGCUAACUCCGUGCCAGCCGCCGCGGUAAUUC